UGCCACAGCCAUAUCACCCUGCAGCCCAAGACUGGUUGCCCACUGAAGCUAAGCAGGGUUGAGCCUGAUCAGUACCUGGAUGGGCAACCUCCUGGGAAAACUAGGUUGCUGUUGGAA
ensembl:rRNA 5S_rRNA 5S ribosomal RNA